GUUUCAGUGGAAAACAAAGAAAUUUUACCAGUAACCCCGACUGUGGCAGUCACUCCUGUAUUAGAUAAUAAUAUAUUGCUUGAUUCUGCUACUGAGACAGUAGAUUCCUAGACAGCAGUGAAUGAAAUGCCUAUAUCAAGUGAACGGGAACGAAGUCCAGUGAGGUCAGCACCAUCAAACAGUCGGCAAUCUCGGGCAAGACAAAGAUCUUCUCUGAAUGAGGAUCGCAACCAAUUUGCUGCCAUAGAACGGCAACGAGUGGAAGCUGAGACUGUG
rnacentral:misc_RNA from 1 species